rnacentral:lncRNA from 1 species
UGCAACGAGGUAGUGCAAUGAGGUAGGGGCAUUUACACCCCCAGUGUCAAGGCCAGCCUAAUACUCUCCCAAGGAGAUUGCGGUUUAUAAAAGGACUAAGAGAAAAAACUGAAAUGGCCUGAGCCCUGCGACACCCUGCUGAUAACUACAACACAGUGUCCUCCAAGGCAAUGCUGUGCAGGUGAUAGGAAUGGGACUGCUGCAAAUCAUAAUUUUCCAAGUAACAAGUUGUUGUACAUCACAGGUA